rnacentral:rRNA from 1 species
GACGAACGCUGGCGGCGUGCUUAACACAUGCAAGUCGAACGGAAAGGCUCUGCUUUUGUGGGGUGCUCGAGUGGCGAACGGGUGAGUAACACGUGAGUAACCUGCCCUUGACUUUGGGAUAACUUCAGGAAACUGGGGCUAAUACCGGAUAGGAGCUCCUGCUGCAUGGUGGGGGUUGGAAAGUUUCGGCGGUUGGGGAUGGACUCGCGGCUUAUCAGCUUGUUGGUGGGGUAGUGGCUUACCAAGGCUUUGACGGGUAGCCGGCCUGAGAGGGUGACCGGCCACAUUGGGACUGAGAUACGGCCCAGACUCCUACGGGAGGCAGCAGUGGGGAAUAUUGCACAAUGGGCGAAAGCCUGAUGCAGCAACGCCGCGUGCGGGAUGACGGCCUUCGGGUUGUAAACCGCUUUCGCCUGGGACGAAGCGUGAGUGACGGUAAUGGGUAAAGAAGCACCGGCUAACUACGUG